rnacentral:snRNA from 1 species
UGCCUUGUGCAGUGGCAGUAUCAUAGCCAAUGAGGUUAAUCUGAGGUGUGAUUAUUGCUAGUUGAAAACUUUUCCUUUCAAGUCAAUCUAGUCCACUAAACAAAGCCCUUGCAACUUUAAAAGGCUGCAGUAUUGACAUCAAUAAAUGGGUCGGCAAACUUUGGUUCCUGGCCGUCAG